rnacentral:lncRNA from 1 species
AAUCUUGCUAUGUGAUGGAAAUGGCACUUGACCAUGGAUGCAUCAUUCUUGGUUGAUGUUUGAUGUUGUGGUGAUGAGGCAUGAGGAUGAGUUAAGAUUCGGCCUAGGUGGAGGUUGUGUUAAUGCCAUUGCAUGCAAAAUAUGAAGCUUGUUAAUGAUGCAUGUGAUGAUGGCUUGAUGAUUCUUGAACCUCCUUUUUAGCAUUUUUGUGUGAGCACAUAUGUGCAUUGGUUGCUAAAUGGAGAAGAAUCGGCUAGCAAGAUGUGUGCUAACGCCGAAUGUAACUUUGCAUGUUAAUGAGCAAUGCAUGUGUUAAAUUGAUGAAAAGGGGGAGGAUGCUUUACUAGUGUGUAUAUGUGUGUAUUAAGUGUUGAAAUCGACCCCAAAAAUGGACAUGCAUAUUCGGCCAAGGGGAAAGAAAUUAGCUAAUAUGUUGUGUUGAUGCAUGAUUUUUUGCAUGUAUGAGACUUUAAUGUCUAAUGUAUAAAUAUGGGCUAAGUGCCUUGUGUUCAUCUUUUGAUGCCUAAAUGAUGAAAUCAAUUUAUUUGUUUGACUAAGCUCAAGAGCAAAGGGGAAAUAAAACCGAUAAAGGGAAGGAAAAAGUGGUUGAAUAGCUAGCGGAAUCGUUCGACAACACCCGAGGUAAGUUCUUGAGUAAGAGAGCUUAAAUUUCGAUGUGAUUAAAUCAUGCUCUAUGUGUGGCUAUUGAGCCGAAUGUGCAAGGACAAUAUGUGCCUUGUGUUUGAGUUUCGUAAACGAAAAUGAAAUAUGAAUGUGCCAUGAAUUAUUGUUAGAUGUGCAUGAUUAAUUGAAUGCUGUCCGGGCUAAGUCCCGAAGGCUUUGUGCUAAGUGAAUAUAUCCGGAUUAAGAUCCGAAGGCCUUUGUGCGAGAUACUAAAUCCGGGUUAAGUCCUGAAGGCAUUCGUGCGAGUUGUUAAAUCCGGGUUAAGUCCCGAAGGCAUUCGUGCGAGUUGUUAAAUCCGGGUUAAGUCCCGAAGGCAUUCGUGCGAAUUGUUAAAUCCGGGUCAUGUCCCGAAGGCAUUGUGUGAGUUACUAAAUCCGGGCUAUGUCCCGAAGGCAUUUGAACGAGGAGCUAUAUCCGGUUAAAUCCCGAAGGUACGUGAUUUGGUAAUGAAUGAGCUUGCGGUAAAAUUCCAGCGAAUACUCGAAAAACAUCCCAAUAUGGGGAUAUGUUACGUAUGUGUUGAAUUUAAUCGAGCCCUUACAAAUAAAUGUUCGCUCAGUUGAUAAACGAGCUAUCGGCCUUCGGCUAAGUUAGUCUAUUGUGUAUGUGCAUAAGGGUUGUUAAUGUUGUGAAGCAAGUUUAAUAUCGAUAAAUUGCGUAUUAUGAAAUAUUCCGUUUAGCUAAAUGUGUGAUAUUCUUUGUUUAUGCUGGAAUUCCUUGCUCAAACUUACUAAGCAUAAAUUGCUUACUCGUUACAUUGCUCCUCUGUUUUAUAGAUUUUUGGUUCUCCAGCUAUCGGACUCGGGAUCUUGAAGUC